rnacentral:rRNA from 1 species
CGAUUCAGUGGUUGGUGGUGCAUGGCCGUUCUUAGUUCGUGGAGCGAUCUGUCUGGUUAAUUCCGAUAACGAACGAGACUCUUGCCUGCUAAAUACGCUAGCGUCGACUUUACGUCGGCGACUACUCGCUUCUUAGAGGGACAAGCGGCUUUUAGUCGCGUGAAGCGGAGAGCAAUAACAGGUCAGUGAUGCCCUCAGAUGUUCGGGGCCGCACGCGCGCUACACUGCUUGCAUCAGCGUGUUUCACCCUCGCCGACUGGCGUGGGCAAUCCGUUGAACCGCAAGCGUGCUAGGGAUCGGAGCUUGCAAUUAUUCUCCGUCAACGAGGAAUUCCUUGUACUUGCGAGUCAUCAGCUCGCGGGGAAUCUGUCCCUGCCCUUUGUACACACCGCCCGUCGCUACUACCGAUUGAGUGGUUUAGUGAGGCCCACGGACUGCACGCGGCACACGGCGCCUUCGGGCGUCGCGUCGCGAGCGGAAAGUGAGACGAACUUGAUCACUUCUAGGAAGUAAAAGUCGUAACAAGGUUUU